rfam:Selaginella moellendorffii unplaced genomic scaffold SELMOscaffold_25, whole genome shotgun sequence.
AACCCCUUUUUUCUUGGGAUAUUUAGGGUUAAGUGUCCUUGGGUUUGAAUAGUACUGGGUUGGGUGACCUCCUGGGAAGUUUAAACUCAGGAGUUU